UGGACCACCUUCUGAAACAAGAACGUCUCACAGAUGCCCUGGCUCUUGCUUGGUCCUUCUAUGAAGGUAAAGCAAAGGCUGUUGUAGGCUUGACUGGGGACACGAACAAGAGGAAAGCAGUCAUUGCUGACAGAAUGGUUGAAAUCCUUCUCCAUUACACUGAUCGGGCUCUGAAGAAAUGUCCUGACCAAGGAAAAAUCCAGGUUAUGGAGCAGCACU